rnacentral:rRNA from 1 species
UGGGGAAUCUUGCACAAUGGGGGCAACCCUGAUGCAGCGACGCCGCGUGAUCGAUGAAGCCCUUCGGGGCGUAAAGCUCUUUCGACCGGAACGAUAAUGACGGUACCGGGAGAAGAAGCUGCGGCUAACUACGUGCCAGCAGCCGCGGUAAUACGUAGGCAGCAAGCGUUGUUCGGAGUUACUGGGCGUAAAGAGUGCGUAGGCGGUUUUCUAAGUUCGGUGUGAAAUCUCCCGGCUUAACUGGGAGGGUGCGCCGAAGACUGGGAAGCUGGAGUGUGGGAAAGGCAGGCGGAAUUCCUGGUGUAGCGGUGAAAUGCGCAGAUAUCAGGAGGAACACCGGCGGUGUAGACGGCUUGCUAGACCAUAACUGACGCUGAGGCACGAAAGCGUGGGUAGCAAACA